UCCGUACGAGCGCACCCCUUAUCCCUUGUUGCCAGCACGUAAUGGUGGGAACUCUAGGGAGACUGCCGGUGACAAACCGGAGGAAGGCGGGGACGAUGUCAAGUCAUCAUGGCCCUUACGAGUAGGGCUACACGCGUGCUACAAUGGUUGGUACAAAGAGAAGCUAAGCGGUGACGUGGAGCAAAUCUCAAAAAGCCAAUCGUAGUCCGGAUUGAAGUCUGCAACUCGACUUCAUGAAGCUGGAAUCGCUAGUAAUCGCAGAUCAGAAUGCUGCGGUGAAUACGUUCUCGGGCCUUGUACACACCGCCCGUCAUACCACGGGAGUGGGUUGCACCAGAAGUAGGUAGGCUAACCGUAAGGAGGCCGCUUACCACGGUGUGAUUCAUGACUGGGGUAAAGUCGUAACAAGGUAGCCGUAGGGGAACCUGUGGCUGGAUCACCUCCUU
rnacentral:rRNA from 1 species